GGAUGAACGCUGGCGGCGUGCCUAAUACAUGCAAGUCGAACGAGUUCUGAUUAUUGAAAGGUGCUUGCAUCUUGAUUUAAUUUUGAACGAGUGGCGGACGGGUGAGUAACACGUGGGUAACCUGCCCUUAAGUGGGGGAUAACAUUUGGAAACAGAUGCUAAUACCGCAUAAAUCCAAGAACCGCAUGGUUCUUGGCUGAAAGAUGGCGUAAGCUAUCGCUUUUGGAUGGACCCGCGGCGUAUUAGCUAGUUGGUGAGGUAACGGCUCACCAAGGCAAUGAUACGUAGCCGAACUGAGAGGUUGAUCGGCCACAUUGGGACUGAGACACGGCCCAAACUCCUACGGGAGGCAGCAGUAGGGAAUCUUCCACAAUGGACGCAAGUCUGAUGGAGCAACGCCGCGUGAGUGAAGAAGGCUUUCGGGUCGUAAAACUCUGUUGUUGGAGAAGAAUGGUCGGCAGAGUAACUGUUGUCGGCGUGACGGUAUCCAACCAGAAAGCCACGGCUAACUACGUGCCAGCAGCCGCGGUAAUACGUAGGUGGCAAGCGUUAUCCGGAUUUAUUGGGCGUAAAGCGAGCGCAGGCGGUUUUUUAAGUCUGAUGUGAAAGCCCUCGGCUUAACCGAGGAAGUGCAUCGGAAACUGGGAAACUUGAGUGCAGAAGAGGACAGUGGAACUCCAUGUGUAGCGGUGAAAUGCGUAGAUAUAUGGAAGAACACCAGUGGCGAAGGCGGCUGUCUGGUCUGUAACUGACGCUGAGGCUCGAAAGCAUGGGUAGCGAACAGGAUUAGAUACCCUGGUAGUCCAUGCCGUAAACGAUGAAUGCUAGGUGCUGGAGGGUUUCCGCCCUUCAGUGCCGCAGCUAACGCAUUAAGCAUUCCGCCUGGGGAGUACGACCGCAAGGUUGAAACUCAAAGGAAUUGACGGGGGCCCGCACAAGCGGUGGAGCAUGUGGUUUAAUUCGAAGCAACGCGAAGAACCUUACCAGGUCUUGACAUCUUUUGAUCACCUGAGAGAUCAGGUUUCCCCUUCGGGGGCAAAAUGACAGGUGGUGCAUGGUUGUCGUCAGCUCGUGUCGUGAGAUGUUGGGUUAAGUCCCGCAACGAGCGCAACCCUUAUGACUAGUUGCCAGCAUUUAGUUGGGCACUCUAGUAAGACUGCCGGUGACAAACCGGAGGAAGGUGGGGAUGACGUCAAAUCAUCAUGCCCCUUAUGACCUGGGCUACACACGUGCUACAAUGGAUGGUACAACGAGUUGCGAGACCGCGAGGUCAAGCUAAUCUCUUAAAGCCAUUCUCAGUUCGGACUGUAGGCUGCAACUCGCCUACACGAAGUCGGAAUCGCUAGUAAUCGCGGAUCAGCACGCCGCGGUGAAUACGUUCCCGGGCCUUGUACACACCGCCCGUCACACCAUGAGAGUUUGUAACACCCGAAGCCGGUGGCGUAACCCUUUUAGGGAGCGAGCCGUCUAAGGUGGGACAAAUGAUUAGGGUGAAGUCGUAACAAGGAACC
rnacentral:rRNA from 1 species